rnacentral:lncRNA from 1 species
AACAAUAGGACAAUAACAACCUUUUGGGUUGGUAACUAGCUCCUCAAAUAUGUGAUUUUUCUUGUCUUCGUCUCUUACAACCUCUCAUACCUCCAAGCUUUCAUGUUUCUUGAAUCCAUAGUUGCUCCGUGGAAAAUCUCCACAACUUCAAUCUUGUCUCCUUCCCAAGCUCUCCAAUUUUUCUCGAUUUACCCAAAGAGAAGGGUUAAAUCCUAUUAAUGCUAAAACCCACUGAUAAGUCCUCAAAAGUGUAUUUUUAUCCCUCGAAUAACACUUUGUUUGCAUAGCACUUAGCUUAUAUUAUUGUGUAAUAUCUAUUGAUUAGUGUUUUCUUGUCAUUUGUGUAGGUUUCAUGAGCCAAAAGUCAAAUACUGUGCUAAAAGCCCGCCAAAAGCCAAGAAAAGCCAUUGAAGAAAUGUUAUUUACACAAAAAAAGAAAAUUACUAUUUGCACCCACAUAUUACUGAGGACACCCCUUAGACAAGUCUUGUGGACUUGACUUUAAGCCAAAAAAAGCCGUUGAAAAAGUGUUAUUUACACAAAAGAAGAUAAUUAUUAUUUGCACCCACAUAUUAUUGAGGACACCCCUUGGACAAGUCCUGUGGACUUGACUUUAUGUCUAAGAUGGGUGGUCGAAAUCCCAGCUCAAUCCAAGUUAUAUUGAAGCCCGCAGGUCAAAAGAUCUAUUGAAGCCUGUUACUUGAAGUCCAAUCUUAAAAAUGCUCUACAUAAUAAUGUAAAACUCCGAUUUGGGCUCAGAAGUUGUCUAUCUAAAGGUAUUGAUCCAAGCUACAACUUAAACCCAAAAGAAUUAGGGUUUCAUGUGGUCUUUAUACUUCUAGAAGCUCUAUAGCAUCCACCACAAAUUUUGACCUAAUUUGAAGAUCUUGGAUGAAGCAAAGAUACUUUGCUUGCAAGCAAAGUACUUUCCUAACUCAUGAGGACUCAUACAUUGUAAUCUCUAUAUAAAGAGAAGUAGUAGCUCGGGUUUAUUAGCUUGAACUUUUGAGAGGAAGAAACACUUCCCUUCUUCUUGAAGUCAAUCUCUUUUGUAGUAUUUUCAUAAUAAUAAUAACAAUCUCUUAUCUUUUCCAUUAAUGAUGUUGUGUUCUUUUACUAUUUCUUUUAUGGUAUCAUUAUCAAGGAUGAGUAUCUAAGUUUUCUUUAGUGGGAAUGGUUGAAGCAUUCUAGAUAAUGCAAAAGCACCAUGAUUGUUCUUUUAUAUUCAUUGUGAUUCAAU